rnacentral:rRNA from 1 species
UACGUAGGGCGCAAGCGUUGUCCGGAAUUAUUGGGCGUAAAGCGCUCGUAGGUGGCUUGUUGCGUCUGCCGUGAAAGCCCGUGGCUUAACUACGGGUCUGCGGUGGAUACGGGCAGGCUAGAGGCUGGUAGGGGCAAGCGGAAUUCCUGGUGUAGCGGUGAAAUGCGCAGAUAUCAGGAGGAACACCGGUGGCGAAGGCGGCUUGCUGGGCCAGUUCUGACGCUGAGGAGCGAAAGCGUGGGGAGCGAACAGG